GUGGGGAAUCUUAGACAAUGGGGGAAACCCUGAUCUAGCCAUGCCGCGUGAGCGAUGAAGGCCUUAGGGUUGUAAAGCUCUUUCAGCUGGGAAGAUAAUGACUGUACCAGCAGAAGAAGCCCCGGCUAACUCCGUGCCGGCAGCCGCGGUAAUACGGAGGGGGCUAGCGUUGUUCGGAAUUACUGGGCGUAAAGCGCACGUAGGCGGACCGGAAAGUCAGAGGUGAAAUCCCAGGGCUCAACCUUGGAACUGCCUUUGAAACUCCUGGUCUUGAGGUCGGGAGAGGUGAGUGGAAUUCCGAGUGUAGAGGUGAAAUUCGUAGAUAUUCGGAGGAACACCAGUGGCGAAGGCGGCUCACUGGCUCGAUACUGACGCUGAGGUGCGAAAGCGUGGGGAGCAAACAGGAUUAGAUACCCCGGUAGUCC
rnacentral:rRNA from 1 species